AAUUGCCCCACCUGUGCCUCCAGGCUGUACCUCCCUAAGGGGAGGUACCCUCAGGGAGGCCUCAUCAGGGAGAUGUUGCCCUCAGUUCUUAGAGCUCUGAGCUGGGUUUGCUGGAGAGGGAUACCCUGAGUCCUGACUUGGGGAGCUCCCGUGGAUGUGGGUUGCAGCCCAGGCAUCCCAAAGGAUCAGCAGAAACAAACGGCAUGUUUGGAAGGAGGGAGCUGAGUCUGGUGAGGAGGAGGUGGACAGGAUCCCUGCACAGAGAACGGGAUUGCUGUGGGCCGGGCGAGCAAGCCGGGAAGGAUGUGGGGAUGGGAAUGCCUGGACCCAGCCUUUUGUUUCCCAGCAAAGGUGAUUUCGUGGACCCCUGCCUGGGGGACCUGGUCUCAAUUCUGAAGCUUCCCCAAUGGCUUAAAGGACUGCUGGCCUUCCUGGUGAAGCCUCUGCUCCCAAGGCUGUCAGCUUUCCUCAGCAACAUGAAGUCUCGGUCGGCUGGAAAACUCUGGGAACUGCAGCACGAGAUCGAG
rnacentral:sRNA from 1 species